AGUCGUAACAAGGUCUCCGUAGGUGGAACCUGCGGAGGGAUCAUUACACAAAUAUGAAGGCGGGCUGGAACCUCUCGGGGUUACAGCCUUGCUGAAUUAUUCACCCUUGUCUUUUGCGUACUUCUUGUUUCCUUGGUGGGUUCGCCCACCACUAGGACAAACAUAAACCUUUUGUAAUUGCAAUCAGCGUCAGUAACAAAUUAAUAAUUACAACUUUCAACAACGGAUCUCUUGGUUCUGGCAUCGAUGAAGAACGCAGCGAAAUGCGAUAAGUAGUGUGAAUUGCAGAAUUCAGUGAAUCAUCGAAUCUUUGAACGCACAUUGCGCCCUUUGGUAUUCCAAAGGGCAUGCCUGUUCGAGCGUCAUUUGUACCCUCAAGCUUUGCUUGGUGUUGGGCGUCUUGUCUCUAGCUUUGCUGGAGACUCGCCUUAAAGUAAUUGGCAGCCGGCCUACUGGUUUCGGAGCGCAGCACAAGUCGCACUCUCUAUCAGCAAAGGUCUAGCAUCCAUUAAGCCUUUUUUUCAACUUUUGACCUCGGAUCAGGUAGGGAUACCCGCUGAACUUAAGCAUAUCAAUAAGC
rnacentral:rRNA from 2 species